AACGAGACCUAACCUGCUAAAUAGCCCGACCCGCUUUGGCGGGCCGCCGGCUUCUUAGAGGGACUAUCGGCUCAAGCCGAUGGAAGUUUGAGGCAAUAACAGGUCUGUUAUGCCCUUAGAUGUUCUGGGCCGCACGCGCGCUACACUGACAGAGCCAACGAGUUUACUACCUUGGCCGGAAGGUCUG
rnacentral:rRNA from 1 species